AGAGUUUGAUUAUGGCUCAGGAUGAACGCUAGCGGCAGGCCUAAUACAUGCAAGUCGAACGGUAAACACCCUUCGGGGUGUGAGAGUGGCGGACGGGUGCGCAACGCGUAUGCAACCACCCCCGACGGGCGCACAGCCGGUGGAAACGCCGGGUAAUGCGCCAUGCGACCCGCGCGGGGCAUCCCGUGCGGGCCAAAGCGGCGACGCGGUCGGGGACGGGCAUGCGUCCCAUUAGAUGGUAGGCGGGGUGACGGCCCACCUAGUCGACGAUGGGUAGGGGAUCUGAGAGGACGGUCCCCCCACACUGGUACUGAGACACGGACCAGACUCCUGCGGGAGGCAGCAGUAAGGGAUAUUGGGCAAUGGGGGUAACCCUGACCCAGCCAUGCCGCGUGAGGGAAUGAGGCCCUACGGGUCGUGAACCUCUUUUAUUCGGGGACAAGGACGGCGUCGCGAACGCUGUUUGAGGGUACCGAAGGAAUAAGCGUCGGCUAACUCCGUGCCAGCCGCAGC
rnacentral:rRNA from 1 species